rnacentral:rRNA from 1 species
CGUAACGCGUAGGCAACCUGCCCUUAGUUGUGGAAUAACUACGGGAAACCGUAGCUAAUACCGCAUAAUGUCUCAUGAACACAUGUUCGCGAGAUCAAAACUCCGGUGACUAAGGAUGGGCCUGCGUUGGAUUAGGUAGUUGGUGAGGUAACGGCUCACCAAGCCUACGAUCCAUAGCUGGUCUGAGAGGAUGAUCAGCCACACUGGCACUGAGACACGGGCCAG